GCCGAGUGGCAGCCGUCGGACGUGGACCAGCGCUGCCUGGACAGCAUCGCGGCCACCACGCAAGCCCAGGGCCUGACCAACGUGAAGGCCCCGCUACACCUGGACGUGACGUGGGGCUGGGAGCACUGGGGCGGGAUCCUGCCACAGUCGCUGGACCUGUUGCUCUGCAUCAACAUGGCCCAUGUCAGCCCCCUGCGCUGCACGGAGGUCUGUGGGGAGCCCAGCAUGGGUGUCUGCCGUGGCACCACUCACCCUGCAUGGGGGCAGCUGGGAUGCCAGAUUUGCCCCCAUCACAGUCGGGGGGCUCUUCAGAGCAGCAGGACACCUGCUCAAACCCAGGGCCCUGCUCAUCACCUACGGGGAACCCAGAAUGGGGGCUUCGGGACACAGCCCUCCUGGAGGACCUGGGAAAGGCCAGUGGCCUGCUCCUGGAGAGGAUGGUGGACAUGCCAGCCAACAACAAAUGCCUGAUCUUCCGGAAAAACUAAGCCCCUCCUUCACCCCCGCACACCUGCAUCCCUGCCGGAGGCUCUGUGAGGCACGAACCCUGCCUCCCUAGGCCGGACCUUGUG
rnacentral:lncRNA from 1 species